CGAACGGGGAGAUUCAUCGUCAGCGGACGCCGGCUUCGCGUCGGUCGGCGAUGUCCCGCGGGGGCCCUCGCGGCUCUCAGCGCGGGCACGCUGCCGUGCGCCGAUGUAUCCGGCUUCGCCGUCGUGCACUUCUCCCCUGGUAGAACGUCGCGACCCGCUGGGUGUCGGUCUACGGCCCGGGUGCGGUGUCUGACGCGCCGCCGGUAAAACGGCGCGCGUCAAACCCCCGGUCGCCCGGCCGGCUGCCCGGCGGUACGCGCAAGGUAUCAGGCCGCACGCCCCCGCGGUGCGUCGAGGCCGUCGCAAGCGCGCGCCACGGUACACGGAGGUACGGACCUAGCGCCGUCACCGGUCCUGGCCCGCUGUUGGUCGUACGGUUAACCUUCGACAGGCCUACGAACGUCACGGCGCGUCGCGCGCGGGGGUCUCCGAUUCCCGCGCGCUCGCGUCGGCGACCGAUACCGGUCAGCGACGCUACUGCUUUGGGU
rnacentral:rRNA from 1 species